GGCGAGAUGGCCGAGCGGUCUAAGGCGCCAGACUAAGGCAUAAGUGCACCGGGGCUGACUCCAUCUGGUCCGAAGGGGCGUGGGUUCGAAUCCCACUCUCGUCA